rnacentral:rRNA from 1 species
UACGUAGGUGGCGAGCGUUAUCCGGAAUGAUUGGGCGUAAAGGGUGCGUAGGCGGCCUGCUAAGUCUGGAGUGAAAGGUACCGGCUCAACCGGUACAGGCUCUGGAAACUGGCGGGCUAGAGAGCAGGAGAGGGCGGUGGAACUCCAUGUGUAGCGGUAAAAUGCGUAGAUAUAUGGAAGAACACCAGUGGCGAAAGCGGCUCUCUGGCCUGUAACUGACACUGAGGCUCGAAAGCGUGGGGAGCAAACAGG